UAAGACCACACACAUCAGUCAUGAGUAUCCAACAAGUGACCAAUAAAACAAGGUGUGCUUACUCCUUGUCACCAAAUACCAGUUCUUGAGAGACAAAACUGGAAGAAAAUGGAACCACAAGAUUUCAUCAAGGGUCCAAUAGAUAACCAGUGGAUAGCUUGCCUUUGAGGUCCAAAGCAUACUUGACACGGACAUUGAAAGAAACAUGCUGAAGAAUCUAGGCCUAGUGGCACUGAAAGUGAUUAAUGAGUGCCACAGAAGACAGGUUGGAGUGGAUAUCUGUACCGAACUGGAUAAUGCAAAAGAAGCCUACGUUGAUUUGACACACAGAGGUCUCUCAAUGGUUGCUGCUGCCCUGUUGCUUCCAUUUCAAGGAGAGCCCAAGUUUCCUUUGUCAUUAAUCAGGUACCAAAUACACCCAACCCGGUAUAUACUUCAAUCCUGGAGAUAAUAAAGGAAGGUGAGAAAGUCUUUGAGGUAGAAGAUGUCACCAUAGCUCUUGUUGUGCAGUCCACUUCAUCUUCAACAUUGAAUAAUUACUGUAAUUGUUUAAAUUACUGUAUGUUUAUGUAAAUGCAUAGAGUGGAGUGUAAAUACAUGAUAUGGAGGAAACAAUUUUUUUUAUUAUAUAUAUUUAAAUUAUACCACGGGGCUGUUGAAUGCUUUAUUCUGAUUGGUAGAGAACUGUUCCACAAGUAUGCAUUAUUUUUCCAUAACCGCACUAACUUGUCAAAUGUCUUAAAAAUAGGCACCAGAGAAAUGUUUGUGGUAACCGUGGUAUAAGUGGAAUAACUGACUCCGGUCCUUUGAAUUAUUUGAAAAUAACGCACACCCAGGGUGUAACGGCAACCCGCUUCGCAUGGUGCCACAUUACCACCUUGGGUGUGCAUUAUUUUCUUAUAAUUCAAUGGCCUGUCGUCAAUUAUUCCUUACAUAUAUCAAUGAUAUAUUCAGUUACAUUCUGUUAAAUGUUGAAUGAAAUUGUUGAAUGAUUGACUGAAAUAUUAAGGUUGUUUUUUUAGUUAAUUUUUUGUCUUUAGCCUGUUUGUUUAAAGUGCUGUCAUGUUAUGUAUGCAAUAAACAUUUAAUGAAGUA